ACCCCGAGGAAAAGAAAUCAACCGAGAUUCCCUAAGUAGCGGCGAGCGAACGGGGACCAGCCCUUAAGCUGGACAACUGGUAGGAGAAGGCCCUGGAAAGAGCCGCCAUAGUGGGUGAUAGCCCCGUAUCCGAAACCUGAGUCCAGUGAAAUCGAGUAGGUCGGCGCACGAGAAACGUUGACUGAACAUGGGGGGACCAUCCUCCAAGGCUAAAUACUCCUGACUGACCGAUAGUGAACCAGUACCGUGAGGGAAAGGCGAAAAGAACCCCUGUGAGGGGAGUGAAAUAGACCCUGAAACCGUAUGCGUACAAGCAGUCGGAGCAGACUUGUUCUGUGACGGCGUACCUUUUGUAUAAUGGGUCAGCGACUUAUGUUCAGUGGCGAGGUUAACCGUUUAGGGGAGCCGUAGGGAAACCGAGUCUGAAUAGGGCGAAUCAGUCGCUGGGCAUAGACCCGAAACCGGGCGAUCUAUCCAUGAGCAGGUUGAAGGUGCCGUAACAGGCACUGGAGGACCGAACCCACUGUCGUUGAAAAGCCAGGGGAUGACUUGUGGAUCGGAGUGAAAGGCUAAUCAAGCCCCGGGAUGUC
rnacentral:rRNA from 2 species